GCUCGGGUGGCGGAACUGGCAGACGCGCUAGGUUGAGGGCCUAGUGGGGCAACCCGUGGGGGUUCGACUCCCCCCUCGAGCACCA
rnacentral:tRNA from 2 species